UGGGGGAUAUUGCACAAUGGGCGAAAGCCUGAUGCAGCGACGCCGCGUGGGGGAUGAAGGCCUUCGGGUUGUAAACUUCUUUUGCUCUGAACAAGGCAUGCCUUUGGGGUGUGUUGAGUGUAGGGGUUGAUUAGCGCCGGCUAACUACGUGCCAGCAGCCGCGGUAAUACGUAGGGCGCGAGCGUUGUCCGGAAUUAUUGGGCGUAAAGGGCUUGUAGGUGGCUGGUUGCGUCUGUCGUGAAAGCUCAUGGCUUAACUGUGGGUUUGCGGUGGGUACGGGCUGACUUGAGUGCAGUAGGGGAGGCUGGAAUUCCUGGUGUAGCGGUGGAAUGCGCAGAUAUCAGGAGGAAUACCGGUGGCGAAGGCGGGUCUCUGGGCUGUUACUGACGCUGAGGAGCGAAAGCGUGGGGAGCGAACAGG
rnacentral:rRNA from 1 species